GAUGAAGAACGUAGCGAAAUGCGAUAAGUAAUGUGAAUUGCAGAAUCCAGUGAAUCAUCGAAUCUUUGAACGCACAUUGCGCCCGCCAGCAUUCUGGCGGGCAUGCCUGUCCGAGCGUCAUUUCAACCCUCAAGCACUGCUUGGUGUUGGGGCGCUACGCGCUGAGCGUAGGCCCCUAAAAUCAGUGGCGGGCCUGCCGUGGCUCCGGGCGUAGUAGCAACACCUCGCCCUGGACCGCGGCGCGCUCCGGCCGUUAAAACCCCCACUAUACUGAAGGUUGACCUCGGAUCAGGUAGGAAUACCCGCUGAACUUAAGCAUAUCAAUAAGCGGAGGA
rnacentral:misc_RNA from 1 species